AUAGCGUGCGUUAAGCAAUUUCUGCGUUUGACUGAUCCUUACACAGAAACGUAAAACGUAAACAUAUCAUAAAAUGUCAAAGACAACUGGCUGAUCAAAUGUUGGCAUCAUUUGGUAAAGAACUACAUUUGGAAAGAAACGACUGGUGUAACAGAAGAAAACACAUUUGAUCCACUGUCUUUCCAAUAAAAGGCCUUGUUGACAUAUGAGUUGUAGCAUCUGCAAUGUAACCUGGCUGAUUCUGAGCUAAGCCAAGUCCUUGUGAAGCCAUGCAUUUAACC